UACGUAGGGGGCAAGCGUUGUCCGGAUUCAUUGGGCGUAAAGAGCGUGUAGGCGGCCAGGUAGGUCGGUUGUGAAAACUGGAGGCUCAACCUUCAGAGGUCGACCGAAACCAUCUGGCUAGAGUCCGGGAGAGGAGAGUGGAAUUCCUGGUGUAGCGGUGAAAUGCGCAGAUAUCAGGAAGAACACCCGUGGCGAAGGCGACUCGCUGGACAGGUAUUGACGCUGAGGUGCGAAAGCGUGGGGAGCAAACAGG
rnacentral:rRNA from 1 species